UACGUAGGGUGCAAGCGUUGUCCGGAAUUAUUGGGCGUAAAGAGCGUGUAGGCGGCCAUGCAGGUCCGUUGUGAAAACUCGAGGCUCAACCUCGAGACGCCGAUGGAAACCGCAUGGCUAGAGUCCGGAAGAGGAGAGUGGAAUUCCUGGUGUAGCGGUGAAAUGCGCAGAUAUCAGGAGGAACACCGGUGGCGAAGGCGGUUCUCUGGGCCUGUACUGACGCUGAGGAGCGAAAGCGUGGGGAGCGAACAGG
rnacentral:rRNA from 1 species